rnacentral:rRNA from 1 species
GAGCCUACGGGAGGCAGCAGUGAGGAAUAUUGGUCAAUGGGCGGAAGCCUGAACCAGCCAAGUCGCGUGAGGGAAGAAGGUACAGCGUAUCGUAAACCUCUUUUGUCAGGGAACAAAGGCGGGGACUAGUCCCCGGAUGAGGGUACCUGAAGAAAAAGCAUCGGCUAACUCCGUGCCAGCAGCCGCGGUAAUACGGAGGAUGCGAGCGUUAUCCGGAUUUAUUGGGUUUAAAGGGUGCGCAGGCGGCCGUUUAAGUCAGCGGUAAAAGCCCGGGCCUCAACCCCCGCCAGCCGUUGAAACUGGCG